rnacentral:misc_RNA from 1 species
AAAUGCGAUAAGUAAUGUGAAUUGCAGAAUUCAGUGAAUCAUCGAAUCUUUGAACGCACCUUGCGCUCCUUGGUAUUCCUUGGAGCAUGCCUGUUUGAGUAUCAUGAAAUCUUCAAAGUAAAUCUUUUGUUAACUCAAUUGGUUUCUACUUUGGUAUUGGAGGUCUUUGCAGCAUCACACCUGCUCCUCUUUGUUCAUUAGCUGGAUCUCAGUGUUAUGCUUGGUUCCACUCGGCGUGAUAAGUUAUCUAUCGCUGAGGACACUGUAAAAGGUGGCCAAGGUAAAUGCAGAUGAACCGCUUCUAAUAGUCCAUUGACUUGGACAAUACUUUUAUGAUCUGAUCUCAAAUCAGGUAGGACUACCCGCUGAACUUAAGC